rnacentral:misc_RNA from 1 species
GUGAAUUAACAUGCGUGGUGUCUUCGCUUCGGCAAGGCCUUGCUUAAAUCACAUCCUAACACCUUGUGAACUGUAAGACCCGUAGAGUGAGUCCUUUGGCCCAGUCAUCGUCUGCCCAUUUUUAACAAACUAAUAUAAUAGUAACCAAACGUAGUCUUAUUAUACCUAUAA